AGUGAACGCUGGCGGUAGGCCUAACACAUGCAAGUCGAACGGCAGCACAGUAAGAGCUUGCUCUUACGGGUGGCGAGUGGCGGACGGGUGAGGAAUACAUCGGAAUCUACUUUUUCGUGGGGGAUAACGUAGGGAAACUUACGCUAAUACCGCAUACGACCUACGGGUGAAAGCAGGGGAUCUUCGGACCUUGCGCGAUUGAAUGAGCCGAUUUCGGAUUAGCUAGUUGGCUGGGGAAAGGCCCACCAAGGCGACGAUCCGUAACUGGUCUGAGAGGAUGUAAAGGCACACUGGAACUGAGACACGGUACAGACUCCUACGGGAGGCAGCAGUGGGGAAUAUUGGACAAUGGGCGCAAGCCUGAUCCAGCAAUACCGCGUGGGUGAAGAAGGCCUUCGGGUUGUAAAGCCCUUUUGUUGGGAAAGAAAAGCAGCAGGUUAAUACCCCGCUGUUCUGACGGUACCAAAAGAAUAAGCACCGGCUAACUUCGUG
rnacentral:rRNA from 1 species